rfam:Brochothrix thermosphacta DSM 20171 = FSL F6-1036 c1, whole genome shotgun sequence.
AAACACCACUAGGGGAGCUUAGAUAAGCUGAGAUUGGACAUUGUCCUCAACCCUUUGACUUGAUCUGGUUAGUACCAGCGGAAGGAAUGUGGCUUGUUCUCGUA